rnacentral:rRNA from 1 species
CAGCCGCCGCGGGAACACGAAGGGGGCUAGCGUUGUUCGGAUUUACUGGGCGUAAAGGGCGCGUAGGCGGACUGAUAAGUCAGGGGUGAAAUCCCAAGGCUCAACCUUGGAACUGCCUUUGAUACUGGGUAUCUUGAGUAUGGAAGAGGUGAGUGGAAUUCCGAGUGUAGAGGUGAAAUUCGUAGAUAUUCGGAGGAACACCAGUGGCGAAGGCAGCCCCCUGGGCCAAUACUGACGCUCAUGCACGAAAGCGUGGGGAGCAAACAGGAUUAGAUACCCGAGUAGUCCCUGUCUCUUAUAA